rnacentral:rRNA from 1 species
AUACAGGGUGACAGCCCCGUACACAAAAGCGCAUGUGCUGUGAGCUCGAUGAGUAGGGCGGGACACGUGGUAUCCUGUCUGAAUAUGGGGGGACCAUCCUCCAAGGCUAAAUACUCCUGACUGACCGAUAGUGAACCAGUACCGUGAGGGAAAGGCGAAAAGAACCCCGGCGAGGGGAGUGAAAAAGAACCUGAAACCGUGUACGUACAAGCAGUGGGAGCACAGGUUUACCUGUGUGACUGCGUACCUUUUGUAUAAUGGGUCAGCGACUUAUAUUCUGUAGCAAGGUUAACCGUAUAGGGGAGCCGAAGGGAAACCGAGUCUUAACCGGGCGUUAAGUUGCAGGGUAUAGACCCGAAACCCGGUGAUCUAGCCAUGGGCAGGUUGAAGGUUGGGUAACACUAACUGGAGGACCGAACCGACUAAUGUUGAAAAAUUAGCGGAUGACCUGUGGCUGGGGGUGAAAGGCCAAUCAAACCGGGAGAUAGCUGGUUCUCCCCGAAAGCUAUUUAGGUAGCGCCUCGUGAAUUCAUCUCCGGGGGUAGAGCACUGUUUCGGCUAGGGGGCCAUCCCGGCUUACCAACCCGAUGCAAACUGCGAAUACCGGAGAAUGUUAUCACGGGAGACACACGGCGGGUGCUAACGUCCGUCGUGAAGAGGGAAACAACCCAGACCGCCAGCUAAGGUCCCAAAGUCAUGGUUAAGUGGGAAACGAUGUGGGAAGGCCCAGACAGCCAGGAUGUUGGCUUAGAAGCAGCCAUCAUUUAAAGAAAGCGUAAUAGCUCACUGGUCGAGUCGGCCUGCGCGGAAGAUGUAACGGGGCUAAACCAUGCACCGAAGCUGCGGCAGCGACGCUGAUGCGUUGUUGGGUAGGGGAGCGUUCUGUAAGCCUGCGAAGGUGGCCUGUGAGGGUUGCUGGAGGUAUCAGAAGUGCGAAUGCUGACAUAAGUAACGAUAAAGCGGGUGAAAAGCCCGCUCGCCGGAAGACCAAGGGUUCCUGUCCAACGUUAAUCGGGGCAGGGUGAGUCGACCCCUAAGGCGAGGCCGAAAGGCGUAGUCGAUGGGAAACGGGUUAAUAUUCCCGUACUUGGUGUUACUGCGAAGGGGGGACGGAGAAGGCUAUGUUGGCCGGGCGACGGUUGUCCCGGUUUAAGCGUGUAGGUGUGUGUUCCAGGUAAAUCCGGUUCACUUUAACACUGAGGCGUGACGACGAGGCACUACGGUGCUGAAGCAACAAAUGCCCUGCUUCCAGGAAAAGCCUCUAAGCAUCAGGUAACAUCAAAUCGUACCCCAAACCGACACAGGUGGUCAGGUAGAGAAUACCAAGGCGCUUGAGAGAACUCGGGUGAAGGAACUAGGCAAAAUGGUGCCGUAACUUCGGGAGAAGGCACGCUGACACGUAGGUGAAGUGAUUUACUCAUGGAGCUGAAGUCAGUCGAAGAUACCAGCUGGCUGCAACUGUUUAUUAAAAACACAGCACUGUGCAAACACGAAAGUGGACGUAUACGGUGUGACGCCUGCCCGGUGCCGGAAGGUUAAUUGAUGGGGUCAGCGCAAGCGAAGCUCCUGAUCGAAGCCCCGGUAAACGGCGGCCGUAACUAUAACGGUCCUAAGGUAGCGAAAUUCCUUGUCGGGUAAGUUCCGACCUGCACGAAUGGCGUAAUGAUGGCCAGGCUGUCUCCACCCGAGACUCAGUGAAAUUGAACUCGCUGUGAAGAUGCAGUGUACCCGCGGCAAGACGGAAAGACCCCGUGAACCUUUACUAUAGCUUGACACUGAACAUUGAGCCUUGAUGUGUAG